UCCGGCCGUGCCGGGAGCCCCGCGUCCCUCCAGCCUGCUCGGGCUGCGGGGAGACGUCCCCCCCGGGCCUGUCAGCCCAUCCCCUGUCCCAAGUGCCUCUCCAGCUCUCCUGGAGUCUCUUCAGGCGCUGGAAGGGGUUUUAAAGUCUCCGCGGAGCCUUCUCCAGGUGAGCACCCCCAGCUCUCUCGGGCUGUCCCCACAGCAGAGCUGCUCCAUCGUCUUGCUGCCUCCUCUGGACUCGCCCUGGCAGAUCCGUGUCCUUCCUGUGCUGAGGAGUCCAGACCCGGGCACGUCUCCAGGUUCUCCCUAAGGACCAGCUGCCCCUUCGCCUGCUGGUAUUGAAGUAACAUCACAUUUACUGCUUUGUCUUUUCCUGCCUCCUUAUCGCUUCCAGCUGUGGAGUGUCCCCUUAUCUGAGCAGACACUUCAGGAAGCUGCAGUGCUAUUUCUGAUCAGCAAUAUUUCCUGAAAUGUUCUGCUAUCUCAGACUGAGGAGACCAGCCUGACACUGCUCAAAAACAACCAUUGACCAUCAAAUGUCAGAGCUCCCAAGGCUGCAGCCUGUGGAGCCAGAGCACUUUUCCUAAAGACCUUUGCAGCACAACUUGGCAUCAAAAGCCACAAAGUUACUCAAGGCCUGCAACAUCUACUUUAUAAAUAUAUAUUCAGAAUAAAAACAAAAUGUAUUUAUUUAUAAAUAAAUAUUCUGAAUUUCCCAUCACAA